rnacentral:rRNA from 1 species
UACGAAGGGGGGCUAGCGUUGCUCGGAAUCACUGGGCGUAAAGCGCACGUAGGCGGCUUUCUAAGUCAGGGGUGAAAUCCUGGAGCUCAACUCCAGAACUGCCUUUGAUACUGAAGAUCUUGAGUUCGGGAGAGGUGAGUGGAACUGCGAGUGUAGAGGUGAAAUUCGUAGAUAUUCGCAAGAACACCAGUGGCGAAGGCGGCUCACUGGCCCGAUACUGACGCUGAGGCACGAAAGCGUGGGGAGCAAACAGG